rnacentral:rRNA from 1 species
GUGAGCUGGGUUUAGAACGUCGUGAGACAGUUCGGUCCCUAUCUGUCGCGGGCGGAGGAGGUUUGACGGGAGCUGCCCCUAGUACGAGAGGACCGGGGUGGACGGACCUCUAGUGUGCGAGCUGUUCCGCCAGGAGCACCGCUCGGUAGCUAUGUCCGGCAGGGAUAAGCGCUGAAGGCAUCUAAGCGCGAAACCCGCCUGAAGAUGAGACCUCCCGGGGCGCAAGCCCCCUGAAGGGCCCUCGUAGACUACGAGGUUGAUAGGCCGGAGGUGUAAGCGCCGUGAGGCGUUCAGCUGACCGGUACUAAUCGCCCGUGCGGCUUGACCAC